rnacentral:lncRNA from 1 species
UGAAUUUGAUAAUGUUAUCAACUGAAAAAAUAUAUAUCUAAGAUUAACCCUCUAUGUUUCACUAUCAUUUGCAGAAUGACAAAGCCUAGGAAGAAGCGAUGCCCCUCAUGCCAGGCCGAAAAUUCUGUUGGAAGGAAGACAUGUUGCCAGUGUCUCCUCCCCCUUCCCCGGAAGAACAAGCUUCCAGAUAAUUUGCAGAUGGACAGCUGGGCAUCCUCUGCAAAGUCAUACAGAAACGGUGCCAGGACUAUAAAUUCGGCCCAGCUAUCUGUCUUAAAACUAAACGCCCUUGGUCGGAAACCCCUACUAUUUCUUGGAAAUCCUGGCCGCAAAGGAAAAUCUGUGGGGGACUUGAUUCACUUUAUCCCCACAGAUAACGUCUUGGUGAAGGAUAUCAUUUCCAAAAUGAGCAAAUGCCAUGAGCCCCUCCUGACAAUGUUGCAGGGCUGUGCUCCACAAGCAGCUGUGCCCCCCCUGGAAAACAGCGGUCCACCAGCCCCUCCUGUGUGCUCUCAGCCUCCUCCAGAACCCUUCUCAUCCCCUCAACCUCCUCCAUCCUUCUCCAACUCCCAACCUCCUCCUUCCUUCUCAUCCCCUCAAACUCCUCCAUCCUUCUCCAACUCCCAACCUCCUCCUUCCUUCUCAUCCCCUCAAACUCCUCCAUCCUUCUCCAACUCCCAACCUCCUCCAUCCUUCUCAGACCCUCAAACUCCUCCAUCCUUCUCUAACUCUGAACCUCCUCCAUCUUUCCACAACUUAGAACCUCCUCCAUCCUUCUCCAACUCCCAACCUCCUUCCUUCUCUAACUCUCAACCUUCUCCAUCCUUCUCCCCUCUACCUCAUCCAUCCCUCUCCAACUUUGAACCUCCUCGAUCUCCAGCCUCCUCUUCCAAGAAGAGGCCCAAAAUAAAAGGUUUGAUUUACUCUGCAUAAAUGUUGAU